rnacentral:rRNA from 1 species
UACGUAGGGUGCAAGCGUUAUCCGGAAUUAUUGGGCGUAGAGAGCUCGUAGGCGGUUUGUCGCGUCUGCUGUGAAAACUGGGGGCUCAACCCCCAGCCUGCAGUGGGUACGGGCAGACUAGAGUGCGGUAGGGGAGAUUGGAAUUCCUGGUGUAGCGGUGGAAUGCGCAGAUAUCAGGAGGAACACCGAUGGCGAAGGCAGAUCUCUGGGCCGUAACUGACGCUGAGGAGCGAAAGCAUGGGGAGCGAACAGG